rfam:Triticum aestivum genome assembly, contig: Triticum_aestivum_CS42_TGACv1_scaffold_624763_7DS
CAUGUACUCACUCCGUCCCAAAACUCCUAUCUUAAAUUUGUCUAGAUACGGCGUAUCUAGACAAAUUUAAGACAGGAAUUUUGGGACGGAGGGAGUAGAUU